UGGACCAUGUUACCUGUGGCCUCCAAAGCCUGCAGUGAACUAGUUAAUGUGGCUUCAAGAAUCAAAGUGUAUGCGGUGCAAGACGUGCAUAUGCAGCACCUUGCUAAGUGCAAUAAACUAUGCGGUUGCAACUGUGAGAAUUAGGGCUGUCACAACGUAAAUUCUUUUCUUAUAUUUUUUAUUUUCGCGCACCUCAUUACUCGGUAAUGAGAUCACCCUACGCACAUAAAUAGUCGAGUCCUAAAGUUUUUCUCCAAUAAGAAACGACUAUAGUUCCCGCGCCAUUAAAAACGUAUAACCACUGAGAUUUAAGGCGUUGGCAUUCGAUGCAUGGAGCGAUGUGAUGUAAUAGGACAUGUUCUAGCAUUCUCCAGCAUUGUCAUCAACCAUUGUGGUUGGUGGUACUAUUAUUCCCUUAAUUGGUUGGUAUGUAAAUGUACAUAGAAUGAGAGAGAGAAUGAGAGAGAGGGAGAAAGCCUUGGGAAGAACGAUAGUAGCGUCAGAUCAGAAAGCAUCAUCAAAAUUAGUCCGUGUUAGUCUGAGUGUGUGUGAAUGUGACCGGUAUCAACCGUCCGAAGACACCUGAAUGCAGCAGGUUAUAGAAAACCCAAGAUUCUGAUUUUUGUGGAAAUCAGCCACAAAAUCCAGUUUGUCAGCUCGAUCGGCAAAAUUACAGUGCCGAAGUAAGAUCUUCGGACCAGCAGUCCCCGGUCCGAUUGUGACCAAAAUCGCAACACUCAGCCCGGCAUCAAUUAAACUGCACUCUCCACAACCAUGGCCGUAAAUACUGGUAUGAUCUAACCCGCCACUGAGCCUGAGGGACCGCCUGAGAGAACGCCUGAGAGAUCGGCUACUUGGCCGUCAUACUCAACUACCUACAGCACGUCUAAGUAAAGCGCAGAAUAGUCCUACUUUCACCGUAAAGGUCAAGUUGAGCGGACAACAUCUCCUUAGAAAAAAAACUGUACGGUAUCCAUAUUGAUCAAAAACUCCUCAAAGAACUAACUGACAAGAAACCUGUGUGAUAUUUAAAUAAAUAUGAUAAAAUUAAGUGUUACAAGUAUAUGUAAGUAAUAAGAGAACUAAGUGUUCACAAGAAAGCCCAAGUGUUGGGAAAAUUAACUGUGAGACGUCUGCGAGUCACCCAUCAAUACGGUGAUAAGAAAACUAAGUGAGAAUUAAUAGAAUUGACUGGUAGAAGAUCUGUGUGAUCUAUCGAAUUGAGUGUAAAUCUAAGACGUGAUAAGCGAUAAGAUAAAUUAGUUUACAGAAAAUUUGUACGAUUGAUAGCUUAACCUUAAGCCAAGAGAAUAAGAAAACUGAACUACAGAAAAUCUGUGUGAAUUAGAUAAGUGCAAAAGUUAAACUGAAGUCUUCAAUCCGAGAAGACAGUGAUUGGAAACAUAAGUUCUAUUUGGAUCCUUGUAUAUAUUAAUUGUAAAUAUUAAAUUGGCAUAUAUAACUUGUUAAAAUAAUACCUGUUCAAAAUCUGAAGAU